GCCAUGAAUGUUGUUUCUAUAUAAUCGGCUUCAGAUUCGAUUUCGAUUUCGCUUUCAAUUCAACCCCCGCCCCCCCUUGCCAGUUUUGAUUUCACUGGGUCUCAGUCGGAUCCACUUCACGCUGUUCUACACUCGUUUCGUCUGGCUUUGGUCUUCGUCAUUAGUCCCAUUGACAACUGCUAAUUGUGGUCCACCCUAAAGGAUGUGUGUGGGCUGCUGCUGCUGGAGGGUCCACAAGCUAGUGUCUGAAUUUGAGUCACAACCCGUUGCAAAUGCUGGCGUUGUUGUCGUGGAAUAAUUAAAGCAAAUUUGCUCUUCAGACAGUCGCCCGUGGAAAAACAAGGCAAACGUCUCAGCUCUCAGCACGGCGACCCACAACAAGAGCGGUGCCGAAUCACCAGACCCAGGUACAAUCGAGGAUACCGCCUCCUUAAGGAGCGACAAAAGCCCAAAGGAAUGUCACGGAUAACAAUCCGACUGCAGCAUACCCACUAUAAAUUUAACCAAAAAGUAUGGCAUACCUUGCGAAGCAAGCUGCAACUUUAAGCUAAGUAAUAAAAAUGUCUUAUCUU